AUUAUCAAUUAAUUAGUUAAUACUACUUCACGAAGAGCAAGGAGCUAAUUAUAUUGAAGUAAUAGCUUUUAAAUUAUAUGUGGCACCAUAUAAAGAUUAAUUAUAGUUAGGAGUGACAGGCUAACCAACUUGCUAGAUAUCUUGAUCUAUAAGAAAAAUAUCAAGUAUUUAAACAAUAAAGAAAUGGUUAGGUUUUUUUAAUACAUGAAUUAGAUUUACUUUAAAUGUAAUAUACUUAAUCGUUGUUACUUGAAUUUAUAUAGAAUAUUUUAUCUACCGUUUAUGAGUAUUACUAUAGAAUUUUGAUUAUUUAAAGCCAGAUUAUUUAAUGAUAGUAUUAGUAUUACAAAAUAUUUUAGGAAGGAACUCGGCAAACGUUUGCUCAACUGUUUAACAAAAACAUAGCUAAAUGUAAUUAUAUUUAGUUUUUUCUGCUCAAUGGUUGAUCUAAAUAGCCGCAGUA
rnacentral:rRNA from 1 species